AAGUCGAGCGGCAGCGGGAAGAAGCUUGCUUCUUUGCCGGCGAGCGGCCGGACGGGUGAGUAAUGUCUGGGGAUCUGCCCGAUGGCGGAGGAUAACUACUGGAAACGGUAGCUAAUACUGCAUAAUGUCGCAAGACCAAAGUGGGGGCCCUUCGGGCCUCACACCAUCGGAUGAACCCAGAUGGGAUUAGCUAGUAGGUGGGGUAAUGGCUCACCUAGGCAACGAUCCCUAGCUGGUCUGAGAGGAUGACCAGCCACACUGGAACUGAGACACGGCCCAGACUCCUACGGGAGGCAGCAGUGGGGAAUAUUGCACAAUGAGGGAAACCUUGAUGCAGCCAUGCCGCGUGUGUGAAGAAGGCCUUCGGGUUGUAAAGCACUCUCAGCGGGGAAGAAGGCAGUGGCGUUAAUAGCUCCAUUGAUUGACGUUACCCGCAGAAGAAGCACCGGCUAACUCCGUGCCAGCAGCCGCGGUAAUACGGAGGGUGCGAGCGUUAAUCGGAAUUACUGGGCGUAAAGCGUACGCAGGCAGUCCGUUAAGUCAGAUGUGAAAUCCCCGGGCUCAACCUGGGAACUGCAUUUGAAACUGGCAGGCUAGAGUCUCGUAGAGGGGGGUAGAAUUCCAGGUGUAGCGGUGAAAUGCGUAGAUAUCUGGAGGAAUACCAGCAGCGAAGGCGGCCCCCUGGACGAAAACUGACGCUCAGGUACGAAAGCGUGGGGAGCAAACAGGAUUAGAUACCCUGGUAGUCCACGCUGUAAACGAUGUCGAUUUGAAGGUUGCGGCCUUGAGCCGUGGCUUUCGGAGCUAACGCGUUAAAUCGACCGCCUGGGGAGUACGGCCGCAAGGUUAAAACUCAAAUGAAUUGACGGGGGCCCGCACAAGCGGUGGAGCAUGUGGUUUAAUUCGAUGCAACGCGAAGAACCUUACCUACUCUUGAUAUCCAGAGAACGAGGCAGAGAUGCCUUAGUGCCUUCGGGAACUCUGAGACAGGUGCUGCAUGGCUGUCGUCAGCUCGUGUUGUGAAAUGUUGGGUUAAGUCCCGCAACGAGCGCAACCCUUAUCCUUUGUUGCCAGCGAUUCGGUCGGGAACUCAAAGGAGACUGCCGGUGAUAAACCGGAGGAAGGUGGGGAUGACGUCAAGUCAUCAUGGCCCUUACGAGUAGGGCUACACACGUGCU
rnacentral:rRNA from 1 species